UUUUUUCUUUUGAGUAGUGAAUAGCACGUAGUGAAAUUUUUUGAUUUCUUUUUGCGCGGUGACCAAUUUUCAGGUGGGCUCUAAAUUUUUUAGGUUUUUUUUUUUUUUUUCAUUAUUUUUUAUUGGAUAAAAUUCAUGUAUAGUACUAUUGCUUAUGUUUCUCUCUUAAAAUUUUUCCAUAUGACUACUUAAUUUUAAAAAUAUACUUUUAUUCAAGAGAAAAAAAGCCACGUAAUAAAAUCUUAAGUGAGGGAUAUGAGGAAUAACAUCUAAGUAUUAUAAUUAAGUUUUACCCUUCUUUGUUUGUGUGAACAAAACACUAUUACUCUCUCUUUCUCCUCCCAUAGACAGACUCACGCCUCUCAGCCUCUCCCAAAAAGACUGGUUAUAAUGCCAGUGGUUUAGAUUCAGAUGAAUUGAAGGGUGAUUCUUAGCAAACCCUUUAGGCCUGUGAGUUUGAAACAAUCAAAUAUAUGGGAUUGGUGGCAAAAAGAUAGCUUUUGUGGGACUACUUGAACUCAAAUAAUUUUUUGUAAAGUUUGGAAGCCAAGACAUCAUUUUUAUAAAUGUUUCAACCACUUCCACCACCUUCACAAGGAGGGGCAAGUGUCUUAAAGGAGAUGGGGAAAAAUUACAGAUGGAGGGUUGUGAUGUAAGAGGCCAGAGAAUAUAUAUACAAAAAAUAAAUAAAAUAAAAAAGAUAGCAGAGAGAACCAUAACUAAAAGAAAGAGUGAACAGUACUUGUAACCACCAAGAAUAUUGUCCUCGGGCAAAAGGGUAAAGAACCCUUCAUCUAUUGAAACUUAAGGUUUUUAGUCUUUCUUUACCUACUUAUGUCCUUGGGCGAAGCCCACACUUAUUCAUCCCACUCUCUACACUAAUUUCUAUUGUUUUGGGCUGAAUUGAGGUACUCCAACCUCACCCUUUUUGGUGGGCUUGGACC